CAUGGUGGGGGGUGGAAAGCUUUUGUGGUUUUGGAUGGACUCGCGGCCUAUCAGCUUGUUGGUGAGGUAAUGGCUUACCAAGGCGACGACGGGUAGCCGGCCUGAGAGGGUGACCGGCCACACUGGGACUGAGACACGGCCCAGACUCCUACGGGAGGCAGCAGUGGGGAAUAUUGCACAAUGGGCGGAAGCCUGAUGCAGCGACGCCGCGUGAGGGAUGACGGCCUUCGGGUUGUAAACCUCUUUCAGUAGGGAAGAAGCGUAAGUGACGGUACCUGCAGAAGAAGCGCCGGCUAACUACGUGCCAGCAGCCGCGGUAAUACGUAGGGCGCAAGCGUUAUCCGGAAUUAUUGGGCGUAAAGAGCUCGUAGGCGGUUUGUCGCGUCUGCCGUGAAAGUCCGGGGCUCAACUCCGGAUCUGCGGUGGGUACGGGCAGACUAGAGUGAUGUAGGGGAGACUGGAAUUCCUGGUGUAGCGGUGAAAUGCGCAGAUAUCAGGAGGAACACCGAUGGCGAAGGCAGGUCUCUGGGCAUUAACUGACGCUGAGGAGCGAAAGCAUGGGGAGCGAACAGGAUUAGAUACCCUGGUAGUCCAUGCCGUAAACGUUGGGCACUAGGUGUGGGGGACAUUCCACGUUUUCCGCGCCGUAGCUAACGCAUUAAGUGCCCCGCCUGGG
rnacentral:rRNA from 1 species